ensembl:miRNA MIR9816 microRNA mir-9816
UGGAAAAACUUCAGGAUCCAGUCCAGUUUUCCAGCCACUGAGUUUCUGACUUCUGGAAGGAUUUGGGUAGGGAGGAAAAGGUC